rnacentral:rRNA from 1 species
GACGAACGCUGGCGGCGUGCUUAACACAUGCAAGUCGAACGAGUGGCGCACGGGUGAGUAAUACGUGGGUAACCUCCCCUCUCUUUGGGAUAAGCCUUGGAAACGGGGUAUAAUACCGAAUAAUGGGGGAUGGGCUCGCGGCCUAUCAGCUUGUUGGUGGGGUGAUGGCCUACCAAGGCGGUGACGGGUAGCCGGCCUGAGAGGGUGGCCGGGUACGUGGGUACUGAGAUACGGCCCAGACGACUACGGGGGGCAGCAGUUGGGGAUGUUGCACGAUGUGCGAAAGCCGGCUGGGGCGACGCCGCGUGGUUGAUGAAGGCGUUCGGGUUGUAAACUUCUGACGCUAGUGACAGGGUAGGUGGUGAAGAAGCGCCGGCUAACUACGUGCCAGCAGCCGCGGUAAUUC